UACGUAGGGUCCAAGCGUUAUCCGGAAUCACUGGGCGUAAAGCGUGCGUAGGCGGAUGUUUAAGUGUGAUGUUAAAUCGUGGGGCUCAACCCUGUCGUUGCAUCGCAUACUGGGCAUCUAGAGGACGGCAGUGGCAAGUGGAACUCGUAGUGUAGCAGUGAAAUGCGUAGAUAUUACGAAGAACACCAAUGGCGAAGGCAGCUUGCUGGGCCGACCCUGACGCUGAGGUACGAAAGCGUGGGGAGCGAACAGG
rnacentral:rRNA from 1 species